AGCUGGCUGCUUCCUGGGACAGGGCACAACUGCACCGCCGCCAGCUCACCCGAGCUGCUCCUGCACCGCAGCGGGCAGGGGGCUCCCGGUGUGCCC